UACGGAGGGGGCUAGCGUUAUUCGGAUUUACUGGGCGUAAAGGGCUCGUAGGCGGCCAACUAAGUCGGAUGUGAAAUCCCCAGGCUUAACCUGGGAACUGCGUCCGAUACUGGCAGGCUUGAAUCCGGGAGAGGGAUGUGGAAUUCCAGGUGUAGCGGUGAAAUGCGUAGAUAUCUGGAGGAACACCGGUGGCGAAGGCGGCAUCCUGGACCGGCAUUGACGCUGAGGCGCGAAAGCCAGGGGAGCAAACGGG
rnacentral:rRNA from 1 species